GUUCUUGUUUUUACUACAUCUUUAAAUGUAGAUUUAAUUUGAUGACUAUGCAAAUUGUACCUGCUCCGUAGAAACAACUUGAGCAGAAGAAAUAUUUGCUCUCUGAUUCCAACCUCAGAUGCCUUCAGCCCUCCCUGUAGCUUCUUCCUGGUGCUUUUGGUUCUCUGCUCUAUGGAAAUGCCCCCAAAAUAGUGACCCCAGUGAGAUGCCUAGCCAUUAAGUAUUGAUGAUUUAAUGACAUGUUAUCUAAGAUUUUCUUAUAUACUUCAUUGAUGGAUAAAUAAGAAGAAAGAUGAAGGGAAGGAAGACUGA
rnacentral:lncRNA from 1 species